GCCACAUCACACCACAUGCUCUCCUGUUCGCUCCCUUUCUUUCCCUCUCUCUCUUUCUCUCUCCCUCGUCCAUCAGCUCUCUGCUCUCUCAUUCGCUCAGCCGGCUCGUCACCGGCUGUCAGUUCAUUUGCCGCGGCAGAGCAACAACUGGCUUCUUUCAGUGCUCGGAGCGGAGAGGGAAAGGCGAAAGCAGCAGGAGGAGUGAAAAAAGAAAAAGUGGAGGAGGACGAGCAGAAGGAGAAGAAGGGAAGAAGAGGAGGAGGAGAUCUUUUGUUAAGCAUUCAUCCCUCCCCUCAUCUCUCUCUGGCAUCAGCAGCAUCAGCACCACUGCCUCCUCCACCACUGCUGCUGCUCCCGCUGCUGGAUCCUCCAUCUCCUGCCAGGAUCUGCCUCCUCUUUCUCCUCAGGGAGCUCUUCCUGGAACUGGGAGGGGGAGGGAGAUCACCACCUCCCAGUUUGCCGCGGACUCUCGGCAAGGCAUCAGGAGAAGGGAAGGAAGAAAGGGAGGAUGGAAGGAAGGGGAGGGAAUUUUAGAAGAGGUGCAUAGGGAGAGCAGAGGAGAGGCAACACCCUGGGUUACAGAAGAGCAGAGCGGAGAAGAAGAAAAGAGGGGCCCGGGCAGGAGCGGUGGCAGGGAACUGAAUCUCACCGAUGGAUGACGACUUCCAGGAGACAGGGGCGGUGCUGGCAGGCCCUGGCAUAGAGGAGCCAUUGAUGGAGCCUUGCCUCACGCUGCAGCAAGGCAUCUUCAAUCAAUGCGACUGCCCCCCUUUCUCUAUCUUUGUGUGUGUCUGUUUGCCACUGGAGGCUGAAGGGAG